rnacentral:tRNA from 1 species
GCACCGAUAGCUUAACAGGAAAGAGCACCUCUCCGACUAAGAGGACGGUGCGGGUUCGAUUCCCGCUCGGUGUGCCA